AUACAUGCAAGUCGAACGCGUCUUGGUUAUUGAUGUUAGAUGCUUGCAUUUAACUGAUUUAACAUUGAGACGAGUGGCGAACUGGUGAGUAACACGUGGGUAACCUGCCCUUGAAGUAGGGGAUAACACUUGGAAACAGGUGCUAAUACCGUAUAACAACCAAAACCACCUGGUUUUGGUUUAAAAGAUGGCUUCGGCUAUCACUUUAGGAUGGACCCGCGGCGUAUUAGCUUGUUGGUAAGGUAACGGCCUACCAAGGCAAUGAUACGUAGCCGACCUGAGAGGGUAAUCGGCCACAUUGGGACUGAGACACGGCCCAAACUCCUACGGGAGGCAGCAGUAGGGAAUCUUCCACAAUGGACGAAAGUCUGAUGGAGCAACGCCGCGUGAGUGAUGAAGGGUUUCGGCUCGUAAAACUCUGUUGUUGGAGAAGAACAGGUGUGAGAGUAACUGUUCACAUCUUGACGGUAUCCAACCAGAAAGCCACGGCUAACUACGUGCCAGCAGCCGCGGUAAUACGUAGGUGGCAAGCGUUGUCCGGAUUUAUUGGGCGUAAAGCGAGCGCAGGCGGUUUCUUAGGUCUGAUGUGAAAGCCUUCGGCUUAACCGGAGAAGUGCAUCGGAAACCAGGAGACUUGAGUGCAGAAGAGGACAGUGGAACUCCAUGUGUAGCGGUGAAAUGCGUAGAUAUAUGGAAGAACACCAGUGGCGAAGGCGGCUGUCUGGUCUGUAACUGAC
rnacentral:rRNA from 1 species